AAUCCGGGGUUUCAAGGCCGAGAGCUGAUGACGAGUCGUCUUUUAGAUGACGAAGUGGUUGAUGCCAUGCUUCCAAGAAAAGCUUCUAAGCUUCAGGUAACCAGGAACCGUACCCCAAACCGACACAGGUGGUCGGGUAGAGAAUACCAAGGCGCUUGAGAGAACUCGGGUGAAGGAACUAGGCAAAAUGGCACCGUAACU
rnacentral:rRNA from 1 species